AUCCUUACCUGGCCAUGGGAAUACCACGAUCAAGAAGAUGGUUUCCCCAUGGUGAAGCUCUUCCAUUACAUUGAGCACAUUAACUUAGCAUACAUUUGACAGAAUGGGCUAUUCUGGGUGCAUCACUGAUUUGUAGCAGCCACAGAGGAUCUCUUUUUGUAUGU